UAGGGAAUCUUCCACAAUGGACGCAAGUCUGAUGGAGCAACGCCGCGUGAGUGAAGAAGGUUUUCGGAUCGUAAAGCUCUGUUGUUGGUGAAGAAGGAUAGAGGCAGUAACUGGUCUUUAUUUGACGGUAAUCAACCAGAAAGUCACGGCUAACUACGUGCCAGCAGCCGCGGUAAUACGUAGGUGGCAAGCGUUGUCCGGAUUUAUUGGGCGUAAAGCGAGCGCAGGCGGAAUGAUAAGUCUGAUGUGAAAGCCCACGGCUCAACCGUGGAACUGCAGCGGAAACUGUCAUUCUUGAGUGCAGAAGAGGAGAGUGGAAUUCCAUGUGUAGCGGUGGAAUGCGUAGAUAUAUGGAAGAGCACCAGUGGCGAAGGCGGCUCUCUGGGCUGCAACUGACGCUGAGGCUCGAAAGCAUGGGUAGCGAACAGG
rnacentral:rRNA from 1 species